rnacentral:rRNA from 1 species
UAUGACAACCCUAGAGAUAGGGCUUCCCCUUCGGGGGCAGAGUGACAGGUGGUGCAUGGUUGUCGUCAGCUCGUGUCGUGAGAUGUUGGGUUAAGUCCCGCAACGAGCGCAACCCUUGAUUUUAGUUGCCAGCAUUCAGUUGGGCACUGUAAGGUGACUGCCGGUGACAAACCGGAGGAAGGUGGGGAUGACGUCAAAUCAUCAUGCCCCUUAUGACCUGGGCUACACACGUGCUACAAUGGGCAGAACAAAGGGCAGAGAAGCCGCGAGGAUAAGCCAAUCCCACAAAUCUGUUCUCAGUUCGGAUCGCAGUCUGCAACUCGACUGCGUGAAGCUGGAAUCGCUAGUAAUCGCGGAUCAGCAUGCCGCGGUGAAUACGUUCCCGGGCCUUGUACACACCGCCCGUCACACCACGAGAGUUUGUAACACCCGAAGUCGGUGAGGUA